AUGGGCAAAUAUUGUUGUCUCUGUACUACCAGGAAUCUCCACAGUCUCUGACAGGACAAGUGGAAUGACAAACAGUACAAGAAAGCUCACUUCCGCACAGCCCCGAAGGCCAAUCCUUUUGGGGUGCCUCUCAUGCAAAGUGAAUUGUGCUGGAGAAGCCAAAAAGCCUAAUUCUGCUAUCAGGAAGUGUGUCAGGGUGCAGCUCAUUAAAAAUGGCAAGAAGGUCAUAACAUCAGUGCCCAGUGGUGGCUUCUGGGAUGUCAUUGAGGAAAACAAUGAAGCACUGGGCCAUGGACUUCGUUAGAAAGGUCAGGCUGUAGGUGCUAUUCCUGGAGUCCGUGUUAAGGUUGUUAAAGUAGCCAAUGUGUCUCUUUUGGCCCUAUACAAAGGCAAGAAGAAAAGACCAACAUCAUAA
rnacentral:lncRNA from 1 species